CCCAACCCAGUGUCUCAGAAAAUUAGAAUAUUAUAUAAGACCCAUUGGUAUUUUGGCAGUGUGAGCAGUGUGCCAAGUCCUGCUGGAAAAUAAAAUCCGGAUCUCUAUAAAAGUUGUUGGCGAGUGCUGUAAGAUUUUCCGGGAACAUGCUGCACUGGCUAUAACACAGUGGACCAAAACCAGCAGAUGACAUGGCUCUUUAAACCAUCACUGCCCAUCAGUAAAAUUUGCAUUUUAUUUAGAAAUCAAGGGACCAGAGCCUGAAGGAAGAGUGGAGAGGCAACUUUAAUUGAGAUGCAAAUUUCAUUUUCUUUCAGAACUUGGCAAACUGCCCACACUGCAAAAAGUACCAAUUGGUCUUAUAUAAUAUUCAAAUUUUCUGAGACCCUGAUUUUUGGGUUUUCAUUGGCUAUAAGCCAUAAUCAUCAACAAUAAAAGAAAUAAGCACUUAAAAUAGAUCACUCUGUGUGUCAAACAUCUAUAUGUUCUAUAUCUUUGGGAUGCACUAGUAUUUGUGAAAGACAAUAAAACCACUUGGCUUGGCUCUAUGAUUACAUGCUAAGAAUAUUCUUUAAACCUCAGUUUAAAAAAAUCUUUAAACGUUCCUCCCUGAUUUGACACUGUUUUUGUAAGAGUGAAGGCAUUCCUGAAUCUCUGGAGAGGCGAUGGACUGAGUAUGAUGUGCUCAGAGGAAGGGCCGUCAGGACCGAUCAAAUGCUGAGAGUACACAGACACAAGAGCAGUUGGUUCUCUUUAGGUUUUGCUGUUUGUUUUUUUUAUUUUUCCUGUGGGUGAGAUUAAGAUGGAAAAUGAGACACUGACUGUGAGUGAUUCUACAGUGACCUGACAUCAGUUUUAUAUGUUUGUAUGAAAGAGAGUAAUGAAAUAGUGCUGUAAAUUUAAGAAGUAAAUAUGGUUAUGUACAACAAUGUGUGGAUAAAAUGGCUAUUGGAAA